rnacentral:rRNA from 1 species
AUUGAACGCUGGCGGCAUGCUUUACACAUGCAAGUCGAACGGGCUUAGGGGCUUGCUCCUAAGUUAGUGGCGAACGGUGAGUAAUACAUCGGAACGUACCGUGUAGUGGGGGAUAACGUAGCGAAAGUUACGCUAAUACCGCAUACGAUCUACGGAUGAAAGUGGGGGACCUUCGGGCCUCACGCUAUACGAGCGGCCGAUGUCUGAUUAGCUAGUUGGUGAGGUAAAGGCUCACCAAGGCAACGAUCAGUAGCGGGUCUGAGAGGAUGAUCCGCCACACUGGGACUGAGACACGGCCCAGACUCCUACGGGAGGCAGCAGUGGGGAAUUUUGGACAAUGGGCGAAAGCCUGAUCCAGCCAUGCCGCGUGUCUGAAGAAGGCCUUCGGGUUGUAAAGGACUUUGUCAGGGAGGCAAAACUUAGAGGUUAAUAACCUUUGAGGUUGAGAGUACCUGAGAAUAAGACACCGGCUAACUACGUGCCAGCAGCCGCGGUAAU